GCGGGCGUGGUGAAACUGGCAGACACGAUAGACUUAGGAUCUAUUGCCUUUGGUGUGCAGGUUCGAGUCCUGUCGCCCGCACCA
rnacentral:tRNA from 1 species